GUGAGGAAUAUUGGGCAAUGGGCAUAAGCCUGACCCAGCGACGCCGCGUGAGGGAAGAAGGUCUUCGGAUUGUAAACCUUAGUUAUCAGGGAAGAAGAAAGUGACGGUACCUGAAGAGAAAGCCACGGCUAACUACGUGCCAGCAGCCGCGGUAAUACGUAGGUGGCAAGCGUUAUCCGGAUUUAUUGGGUGUAAAGGGUGUGUAGGCGGGACGGCAAGUCAGAUGUGAAAACUAUGGGCUCAACCCAUAGCCUGCAUUUGAAACUGCUGUUCUUGAGAGUCGGAGAGGUAGAUGGAAUUCCUGGUGUAGCGGUGAAAUGCGUAGAUAUCAGGAGGAACACCGGUGGCGAAGGCGGUCUACUGGACGACAACUGACGCUGAGACACGAAAGCGUGGGGAGCAAACAGGAUUAGAUACCCGAGUAGUCC
rnacentral:rRNA from 1 species